GGUGGUUCUUGGGUGACGCACCCGGGAAUCGGGCUCCCUUCUCUCUGGUUCUGGGUGUGUCACUCGAGAACCGCU
rfam:Myotis lucifugus cont2.14701, whole genome shotgun sequence.